GCCAGGCAUAUUUUUCAAGCCUGCCCGGUGUGGAUAUACACUCAGAGUAACAUCACACAAACAUCUUAUUCACCUGAGUACAUUACACCAACACAGCAGAUUACAUUGGAAAUGUUUAUUAGAAGAUUUAUUGGUUCAUUUUUGUAUUGAACAAGCUAUUAUAACAAAUGGAACAAAAUGACACUUAAAAAGGUUCUUUAGCAGCAAAAAUGAGCAUAGAAAGUUAAUGGAUUGUUCCAGAAAUGUCCAAAUAGGUUUAAAAUGUUCGUAGGACGUAUAGUUGUAUUUAACAGGAUCUCAUAAAUUAAAAUAGGAUCAUCAAAGAGGAUAACUAAGUGAAACGUAGUAUCACUUUUCAGCCGCACACUGCUCUGCUUGGGGUUGGUGUCCUCCACUUUGGUUUAAUUGUGUUAUGGCCGUCAUUGGAACAGCGUGUGGCGUGGCUUAUAUUGGCUGUGCAGUGGUCUGCAUGGCUCCUACUGUUUAAAUCAUGAUGGUCAAUAUAAUGUUGCUGAUUUACAAGGAUUACCCUCGUUAUAAUUUUGUAAACUUUGUUAUUGUAUUCUACAAAUAUACUUCGCAUUUUUAUUGUUACCCGAGCUUUACUGUAUUUGCCUAGAGUCAACAAUGUGCCUUUAACUAAUGCCAAUAUUUGGUUAUAUAUCUAAUAGUACUAUGAACAGAUAAACUUAUUGGUUAUAAGGUUAUAUAUUAACCAAAGUUAAUAGCUAGUCAGCCAGAAAAUUGAGUCCCUGGUCGAGAUGUGUGAUGCAUGUUUUUGUCCAACUAUAACGUGACGUUUCCGCAGAUAGUACGGUUUUAUGUCGUUUGCAUCUAACGACAUUGCGUGUGUUUGCGUGAGUCGCAGGCUUAAAGCCAGUCGCGUGCUGGCAAGGGGGGCUGGGGGGCCACGGCCUCCCCAGCUGGCAAUUUUUGGGGGGCGCAAAAAUGAAAAGGGGGCGCCGAUCCUGCGCCGAAUUUUGAAAGUGGGUGGGAAAAGGUUGAAAAAAUAUAGUUACUUCCACCAAGAAAAAAUGUGUUUAUAGGCUUAUAAACAGACUGAGCGCAUAGGCGACAAAGUGAUAUAUUAAAUUACAGACUAUUUUGUCUAACCAGCCAGUAUUGGUACCUCACACGAAAUCGUUCAUAUAGAAACAUGAUCAGUGAUCACACGCAAUGUCGCAUUACCGGAAUAUUGGCCAGGUUUCGAAGCGAUCACGGGAAUUAUGCCCUUUUUUGCUUGUAUUAUGCCCUUAUAUUAUGCCUUUAUAUUGCUUCACGAAUCACGAGAGCGGC
rnacentral:lncRNA from 1 species